UGUUGUAUAAAAGCAAUAUCAACACUAAUCACAUACUUUCAGGGGCUCCUGCACCAACCGAACAGCUGCCAUGAAGAUAAAUGGGAACACUAACAGAUAGCUCUCUCCAGAUGGCUGGGAUUAAUUGACAGGCCCAGUGGCCCAGUACCUGAACAUUUGGAGUUGAAACUCACACCCUGCCACCCCCUGACCGCAUUACUCACCCACAACCAAGCAAAUAAAUCAGAAUAAUGAUAAUAGUCAAAUUUCAUAUCAUCCGAGGAAACACUCCUAGAAAGCAGCAGCGAUGGCGUGCAGAUUUGGCUUGGUGUUGUCAGCAGCGGGCGAUUUUCACGACGAGUGUUUAAAUAGGUGCGGUCCCACUCUUCCUCACAGAGCUCAGCGCCUGGAUUACUUCAUAAUCCACACCAUAUUAUGGGGCUGGCACUAAUUGAAAGAUAAACGAGUUUAUUUGGGUUAAAUCCAUCACCGUGACACAAACCCAAAGGAGAGUGAGGGGGGAGGAGAGAUGAGAGCUCGAAGGAAAGCUGAAGACGUUUGUAUUAACCAGCUGGAUCAGAAGAAAACGUCGGAGGCGAAUUUAUACGCUGGAUAGAAGGGUGUGCAACAGCCAAGGAGGGUUAGUGGAGUCUGGGCUCAGACGUCAUGGCGGGACGUGCCACAGUCAGACACGGUUCACAUUUUCCACUUUGUACGCUGUCUCUUAUUAACAAGUGAAAUGUGUAGAGCUGGCCUUACCACCGGCAUGUGUGUAAGUGUGAGACCAAUCAAAACUCCUUCAUGGAAAUAUGGGAAUGUAAACAGGAACAAAACUCUGGGUUUAAGAGCCAUAGGCAGAUAAAGCAGCACUGAAAUCAGUCCCUAAAUAUAACUGCUGAACUUGUGAACCAUAGAGUCCAGUACAAAGCUUGAAUUUUUGUGGUGAAAGGAGAACAGAAGUGGCAUGGCUUUCUCACGCUUUUAAAGACACAGAUGGAGUUUUUCAAAGUGGGCCACGUGACUCGUCCUACAUCAUAAAUUCGCAAGCACAGCAUCUGGCUCCACUCCUGCCAAAUGCUGAAACCACAGGUGCAUUUUUCAGAGAAGAGUGGAAUAUUUCCACAUCUAAUAGUCCACAUUUUUGGACACAUCAAGCAUAGACCAUUUAGCAGCUAUAAAAUCUAAAUACAAUCCAUGAAGUUGAAUACAUCAUGUACAAAAUAUUUUUGUUCGUAUAUUUUUAAUGCAUUUAUUUACACACUCAUAUAAUUAUUUUUUAUUAUUCAUUUAUUAACAUUCCAUUGUUGUGUCUUCAGCCCCCUGUGGAUUACAAGGUCUCGAGGAAGUAGAAGGACUCAUAGCAGGAAUCAUUUCUGAAAAAGGCCACCUUUAUGUUGGCUGGGACAUCUUUGAUGCAUAUUAAAAUAUUGGUAUAAUACCAGUUCUCCACCACUCCUCUGGAUCACCUGCAAGAGAAAAUUCCCCAUUAUCGACAGCUAAGAAACCUGAAACCUUUAAUUCUCCAUAUUACUCACCUUUGGAGUCUUAUAUCUUGCUGCCCCUCUUGUCAAUAAACCUGCUGUUUUGAACACC